rnacentral:rRNA from 1 species
GACGUAGGGGGCAAGCGUUAUUCGGAAUCAUUGGGCGUAAAGCGCUCGUAGGCGGAUCGGACAGUCGGUGAAGAAAGACCCGGGCUCAACUCGGGGAACGGCACCGAUACUAUCGAUCUUGAGGCAAUCAGAGGGUGAUGGAAUUCCCGGUGUAGCGGUGAAAUGCGUAGAGAUGUGGAGGAACACCGAUGGCGAAGGCAGCCUCCUGGGCCAGCACUGACGCUCAUGCACGAAAGCGUGGGGAGCAAACAGG